UGCCCUGUGGUGUAACUGGCAACACGUCUGACUCUGGAUCAGAAGAGUCCAGGUUCGAGCCCUGGCGGGGCAGCCA
rnacentral:tRNA from 1 species